rnacentral:tRNA from 1 species
GCCUUAGCUCAGCUGGGAGAGCACCUGCUUUGCAAGCAGGGGGUCAUCGGUUCGAUCCCGAUAGGCUCCACCA